GCGGGUAUCGUAUAAUGGCAUUACGCCUGGUUGCCAAUCAGGCAACACGGGUUCGAUUCCCGUUACCCGCUCUA
rnacentral:tRNA from 2 species